rnacentral:rRNA from 1 species
GACGAACGCUUUCGGCGUGCUUAACACAUGCAAGUCGAACGGAAAGGCCCUGCUUUUGUGGGGUGCUCGAGUGGCGAACGGGUGAGUAACACGUGAGUAACCUGCCCUUGACUUUGGGAUAACUUCAGGAAACUGGGGCUAAUACCGGAUAGGAGCUCCUGCUGCAUGGUGGGGGUUGGAAAGUUUCGGCGGUUGGGGAUGGACUCGCGGCUUAUCAGCUUGUUGGUGGGGUAGUGGCUUACCAAGGCUUUGACGGGUAGCCGGCCUGAGAGGGUGACCGGCCACAUUGGGACUGAGAUACGGCCCAGACUCCUACGGGAGGCAGCAGUGGGGAAUAUUGCACAAUGGGCGGAAGCCUGAUGCAGCAACGCCGCGUGCGGGAUGACGGCCUUCGGGUUGUAAACCGCUUUCGCCUGUGACGAAGCGUGAGUGACGGUAAUGGGUAAAGAAGCACCGGCUAACUACGUGCCAGCAGCCGCGGUGAUACGUAGGGUGCGAGCGUUGUCCGGAUUUAUUGGGCGUAAAGGGCUCGUAGGUGGUUGAUCGCGUCGGAAGUGUAAUCUUGGGGCUUAACCCUGAGCGUGCUUUCGAUACGGGUUGACUUGAGGAAGGUAGGGGAGAAUGGAAUUCCUGGUGGAGCGGUGGAAUGCGCAGAUAUCAGGAGGAACACCAGUGGCGAAGGCGGUUCUCUGGGCCUUUCCUGACGCUGAGGAGCGAAAGCGUGGGGAGCGAACAGGCUUAGAUACCCUGGUAGUCCACGCUGUAAACGGUGGGUACUAGGUGUGGGGUCCAUUCCACGGGUUCCGUGCCGUAGCUAACGCUUUAAGUACCCCGCCUGGGGAGUACGGCCGCAAGGCUAAAACUCAAAGGAAUUGACGGGGCCCCGCACAAGCGGCGGAGCAUGCGGAUUAAUUCGAUGCAACGCGUAGAACCUUACCUGGGUUUGACAUGGAUCGGGAGUGCUCAGAGAUGGGUGUGCCUCUUUUGGGGUCGGUUCACAGGUGGUGCAUGCCUGUCGUCAGCUCGUGUCGUGAGAUGUUGGGUUAAGUCCCGCAACGAGCGCAACCCUUGUUCACUGUUGCCAGCACGUUAUGGUGGGGACUCAGUGGAGACCGCCGGGGUCAACUCGGAGGAAGGUGGGGAUGACGUCAAGUCCUCAUGCCCCUUAUGUCCAGGGCUUCACGCAUGCUACAAUGGCUGGUACAGAGAGUGGCGAGCCUGUGAGGGUGAGCGAAUCUCGGAAAGCCGGUCUCAGUUCGGAUUGGGGCCUGCAACUCGACCUCAUGAAGUCGGAGUCGCUAGUAAUCGCAGAUCAGCAACGCUGCGGUGAAUACGUUCCCGGG